rnacentral:rRNA from 1 species
CGGGGGAACCCCAUCAAACUUGGAUUUUGUAGGUAGUUGGGAAUGAACACAAAUUUGAUCACUUUGGCAAUCUGUACACAUUGCUGUGUAACAAUUUGUAUACGUUGGCACAGUGCUAUCAAAGCUGCAUGCAAGUGUUUUUUGAAAGGAUACAACAUGGGAUGUGAUAUUCAUGUGUGUGUGCCUGCUUUGUCCACAGCCUGUGCUGUAUGAAUCACAUUUCUUGCAACUGAAAUGCUAAUGGCAUGGUAAAGUUCAUGUGACAUGACACAAGCUUGAGAUUCAUGAUGUGCAAGUACCAUGAGGGAAAUGUGAAAAGGACUUUGGAAAGAGAAUUAAAUAAAGCCUGCAUUUGCUGACAAUGAAAGCAAGUGUGGAUGUUCAUGUAAUUGUUACUGCAUCAAUCAAUGUUCAUCUUGGUUACUGCAUGCUUUAUAUUACAGCUCAGAACAUGAAGUGUGUGUAACAGCUCUGCUUUGAUUUUUCCCACAUGGGAUCAGUUGAAACAUUGUGAGAGCACUCUUCAGUUUCCUUAUGUACCCACCAGCUUUGUCCACUCGCGUGUUGGCACACAUGUAAUGAUGAUGUGUUUAUGCAAGAUACUUCUGUGCUCAACAACAUGUUGUCAUCUCAUCCU